rnacentral:rRNA from 1 species
GUCUACGACCAUACCACCCUGAACAUGCCCCAUCUCAUCUGAUCUCAUAAGCUAAGCAGGGUUGGGCCCUAGUACUGGGAUGGGAAAAAUUCCAAUAUGUACC